rnacentral:lncRNA from 15 species
UCCGGGUGGCUCCGUGUCAGCGCUGUUAGCUCGUCCAUUUUGUUGCUAAGGGACCCUCUCCAUAAGCCCGUCCCGUCUCGACCCUCCUCUCAUUCCCCGACGUUGCUUCCCUCCUCUGCAUCCCCGGUGUGUUUUUCUCCAGAGUUCAGGUGGUAAAUCAGCUGGUCUGGCCACUACACCGGCCAGCAUUAGCGGGAUCAGCUGUUCUCCGGAGUAAACAAAGGCGGCGUGUUCCGGUGGAAGCAGCAUAAUAAAAACUACAUGUAGAAAAGCUAUGUGCGCAUGCGCGGAAGUUUUUAACUUUCUUAACUUUUAUUCUCUUUUGUUCGUUCUUGUUUCUUCACUGUAACUCUGUGAAGUCCUGUCCUCUCUAACGAGGUUGUUUUCAGAGAGUUUUCGUGGUUGUUUUUAUUAUGCCGCUUCCACCGGAACACGCCGCCUUUGUUUACUAGGUACAAGUGCCUACACUUUCAUCGUCUACCUUUCCAUGACCAUGAGAUACUGCAGUUGUGGCUAGUUGUUCUUCAGCUGGAUGUGCGAAUGUAGCAGUAUACAUGUGCUACCUGUCAUUCAGUGCUGUUGGGUAUUUAGCGCCACAGGUGGCCGUUAUGAGGUGGGCCAGUAUAAAAGCCACCACCCUUCCUGGCUAUUCCUUUUGCGCCUCUGUCGUCACCGGUGUGUCACUUCCGGGUCAUAGGUCGUUGACCCGACAGGGCAGCUGCUCCGUGUUUCCCAUAUGUGUGGCGUAGUUUGUGCGUGGUAAAUGCCAGCAGUGGCCGGUCUUCUCUCUCCCUCCCUCCUCUGGUGCGAAUGGAUGUGUCCCCAUACAGGUGUAACGUGCGAUCAGCUGAUUGGGGUCGCUGCUGCUUUGUCCUAUUUCAAACGCUGCUGCUUUGCUUUGCCUAGUCUCCACGCUGCUGGUCUGAGACGGUCUCCAUGUCGCUUGGCUGCGAGGCUGCUCUUGCUCCUCUCUGUUUGGCUUCAUCUGGCGUUUGCCGCGGCCUGGCAUCUGUGGCCCACACCGUGCCCCAGAGCAGCUCUGUCAGACUCACGCGUGUUUUAACUGGGCCUGGCCUCCAUGUCUGUUUGCUGGAGACUGGCGGUGGCGGCGCUGGUGCCCGGAUGGUGGUAUCCCCUUCUGUCUGCUGUGUCCGGUCAAGCGGGUUUCACUUCACUGAGUGUGUCACAUAUGUCGGGUGUUUGAGUUGAUUUCUUAUUUUGGGUGAAUCCCCCCUCGCACUAAGCCCCUGUCCAUACACUCGGCUCCAGCCCCCUCCUUUUUGUUUGAUUUCCCUAUUUAGAUUUGCUUUUGUAUGAAUCAAACUGAAAUAUUAACUAUUUAACAAUAAAAUUGUAUAUUUCUCUAUAAAUACCUGAACCAUGCCUCAUGCCUUACUGAGUAAACUUACCUGUGUGCUUUCCAAAUUAAUUCUCUGGGUGAAAUUCCUAGGGUGGCAUUUUUGGUUCCUUUCCCUAAUUUGGUUGUUGGUCAAAUUAUUAGGUUUAUUUUCACUUUAUCCUCACCACAACAUAAGCACAUGACCUCAUGGAAAGAACUUGAGAUUCAUCUUGACAAGGGCCAAACAAUAGAGCUAAAAUGGCACUAAUAGAGGCUAAAAGGAGGAGGUGGUGUGAUGUCCUGACCAGGUUGGUGGCCAUCAUACAGUCAUUGGCAGAGUGAAAUAUUGCUCUCAGGGGAACCACAGACACACUUCAUGAACCAAAUAAUGGCAACUUCCUAAAAGAAGUAGAGCUCAUGGCCAAAUUUGAUCCUGUAUUGAAGCAGCAUAUUGCUGACGUGGAAACAUGAGUACAUGAUACAUCCUACUUGGGAAAAAAUAUUUAAAAUUAACUUAUUGAUUUCAUUGGUGGAAAGCUCCUGGAAGCUAUAGUCAAAGAAAUUCAACAAAACAAAUACUUCUCAAUCAUUUUGGAUUGCACCCCUGAUUUGAGCCAUAGAGAGCAACUGUCGGUCAUCAUUCGACUGCAGUUGAGGACACUCCACAAAUAAAAACAUUUUGUGGGGUUCCUUGAGGCAGAAGAGUCCACUGGAGAAAACCUUUCAACCCUCAUCCUAAGGAGACCUGAAGAGCUCAGCAUCCCAUUUGAAGACUGCAGAGGGCAGUCUUAUGACAAUGGUGCCAAUAUCAUAGGGAAGAGGAAAGGUGUCCAAGCCAGACUUCUUGAAAAAAAUCCCAGAGCUUUAUUUGUGCCAUGCAAAGCACACAC